rnacentral:tRNA from 1 species
GCGGUGGUGAUCUAGUGGCUACAACUGGUUCUGCUUUUGGAAUCAGUUGCCAUAAAUGAUAGGGCCUUGCCAAGGCUCUUACCCGGGUUCAAAUCCCGGCCACCGCA